GUAGGGAAUAUUGGUAAUGGGCGAAAGCCUGAACCAGCAACGCCGCGUGUGCGAAGAAGGCCUUCGGGUUGUAAAGCACUUUUUAAGGGGAUGAGGAAGGACAGUACCCUUAGAAUAAGCCUCGGCUAACUACGUGCCAGCAGCCGCGGUAACACGUAGGAGGCAAGCGUUAUUCGGAUUUACUGGGCGUAAAGCGCGUGCAGGCGGUUUGGUAAGUUGGAUGUGAAAGCUCCCGGCCUAACUGGGAGAGGUCGUUCAAUACUACCAGACUAGAGGAUGGGAGAGGGAGGUGGAAUUCCGGGUGUAGUGGUGAAAUGCGUAGAUAUCCGGAGGAACACCAGUGGCGAAAGCGGCCUCCUGGCCCAUUUCUGACGCUCAGACGCGAAAGCUAGGGUAGCAAACGGGAUUAGAUACCCCAGUAGUCC
rnacentral:rRNA from 1 species